GCCGGGAUGAAGGAAUCGGAAGACUUGGCGUUCUCAAACAGCGCUGCCCGUAAGGGCGUGCGGGUUCGAGUCCCGCUCCCGGCA
rnacentral:tRNA from 1 species